CAUCGCAUCCCAGCCGACCCUCUCUUGCCGCCUCCUGCCCCGGCCCCUUUUUCUCGCCGAUCAUCUCCGACACGCACGCCCCUCGCCGGCAAUCACCUACGCCUCAGUUCCUCAUCCUUCUACUAUCUCCGUCUGCAACCCUUGCUCGUUUUACUAUCCAUCUCUUCCAAGUGGUCUAAAUGGUUGUUCUUGGGGAUCCUGCUACAACUGGUUUCUCGCGCCUCCUUGCUUUCUGCACUAGUACGGGAAGGCAAAGAUCUGAUCUCUGUAGGCGCAAGUAUUCUCAACCUGAUAGAUUCCACCUUAUUCGAGGUGGCUUGAAUCAAUAGCAUGACCAUGGAUUGUCAGUUAGUAGAGUUUUGGCGCCACAGUUGCCCGCAGUUUCGAAAGGCCAACACGGUUCACUAGUAGAGGAACUUGAUUCACUGGAAGUGUACCCAAAAAUCAUACACUUUUUUCGUCGUCCACUGCUUCAUGACAAUGCUGUUGUAGUGCUGCUGAGGCAGGUCCAAGCAAAGGUUUCAGGUGACAUUGUUGAGAUAAAAACUGAAGUUUGUUUCAACAUAGGUCUUGAUGGUGACUCAUCGAAGGAGAAACUUGGAGCACUUACGUGGCUUCUGCAGGAGACAUUUGAGCCUGAGAAUCUUCAGGCAGAGAGCUUUCUUGAAAAAGAAAUUGACAUUGAUGCUGGUAUUGUAAUUGUUGAAGUUGGAGCACUUACGUGGCUUCUGCAGGAGACAUUUGAGCCUGAGAAUCUUCAGGCAGAGAGCUUUCAUGAAAAAGAAGUUGACAUUGAUGCUGGUAUUGUAAUUGUUGAAGUUGGACCUCCCAUGUCCUUUACUUCAGCAUGAUCAACAAAUGUUGUAUCAACUUGUCAAGCGUGUUCCUUAAUAGUAGUUGAUCCGGCGGUAAGAACAGGGGACCCCCGUUCCGAGAAGUCAACGCCACGUGGAGGUCAAAAGGACUAUCGGAGAAGGGUGGGCCGACCGGCCGACCGGAAAAGGUUGGAUCGACCGGCUACCGGUGUCUAACUGAAGUGUAAGGCACCCCGGUGGAAGUUAGGGUUCCGACGCUCAUGUUGAACAGGAUCGUACGGUCGAGCGGGUAGCCCGCUCGGCCGAAGGAAUAAUGUAGCAAUACUGCGAACAGUCUUCACAGAGCACACUACCGGGAAUCUCCAAAGUGGACCCGCGCAUAUGACCGGCCGGACGUAAUGGGACUGCUGACCGGUCGGACACUCGGCAUGGGGUAAGGAGAAAAGGACAAGGAAACAUCUUCUGACAACGGAUAUGUCCAACGAGAAGGUCAUAAGCAGGAUCUUAUGACAGAGGGUUCCGUUGUCCCAUCAGAGACGUGCUCGGACUGUAGCAGUAUGGUGUCAGGUAAGCUUGUCUGAUAAGCCCAUGCUGAGGACACGUACGCGUCUCGGUAUUUGUGCGUGAGCCUCUUCGCAGCUCUAUAUAAAGGACCUCACACUUCAUGGGAGGUACGCGUUCUUUGAUAUUCGAAGCCACCUCUUUGCUGUCCACUUGCCUGACUUGAGCGUCGGAGGGUCGUCGCCGGGA